rnacentral:rRNA from 1 species
UACGUAGGGUGCAAGCGUUGUCCGGAAUUACUGGGCGUAAAGCGUGCGCAGGCGGUGAUGUAAGACAGAUGUGAAAUCCCCGGGCUCAACCUGGGAACUGCAUUUGUGACUGCAUCGCUGGAGUACGGCAGAGGGGGAUGGAAUUCCGCGUGUAGCAGUGAAAUGCGUAGAUAUGCGGAGGAACACCGAUGGCGAAGGCAAUCCCCUGGGCCUGUACUGACGCUCAUGCACGAAAGCGUGGGGAGCAAACAGG